UUUGCGCUGUUUCCUAACAAAUCAAUUCGUGGCUUAGCGGUUCUGGAGUGUUCGGAGUUCGGUUUAGCUUCAAACAAGACCAGGUAAUCCCCAGCAGUAAGCGGAUUGGAAACCACGACUAUCUACUCAUGAGUUUUAUAUUUAUAACGCCUAUGUUAUUUUAUUAUUUUUGGGAUAUUUAUUGAUUAUGGACUGGAACUUUUGGUUUUAAUUUACGUUUUUGAACU